UACAGAGGGUGCGAGCGUUGUUCGGAAUUAUUGGGCGUAAAGCGCGUGUAGGCGGCCAACUAAGUCGGGUGUGAAAGCCCUCAGCUCAACUGAGGAAGUGCGCCCGAGACUGGAUGGCUUGAGUGCUGGAGAGGGUGGCGGAAUUCCCCAAGUAGAGGUGAAAUUCGUAGAGAUGGGGAGGAACACCGGAGGCGAAGGCGGCCACCUGGACAGUAACUGACGCUGAGACGCGAAAGCGUGGGGAGCAAACAGG
rnacentral:rRNA from 1 species